AGGAACAGAAAACUAAAGGACUAGGGUAGUGAUGGGAUGGGUGGUCGCGUUCACUUUGGAUGGCUGUGGAAAGUGGGAAAGUAGCACUCUUCGGGCCCUAAAAGUAGAGAAAAGCUUAUAAUGAAUCUUGCUUUGGUAUGUGCCAAAACAACUGCCUCUGCCAGCUCUUCUUGGCUGGGUAAGAGCAUCUGCCCUAUACCGUGGCUGCAAGCCUACAUGGCUCCGUGCCAUGUUGUCAGUCCCUGUCAGAUGGCUCAGAGAGAGACAAAGUGCUCUUCUUCCAGAAAGAUGAGAAGAGCACGCUUCAGUUUUGUGGGAAAAUAGACAAAAAUUAAUAUCCUUCACGUGCGGCUGGGUCAGAAGUCCAUGUGCUGUCACCCAGGGAAAGCACCCUACCGCUGCCAGGAAAUGUUCCGCAGUCUGUAGACGGACUGAGAGAAUACUUUGCAGCGCUUGCAAGUGACCGAUGCUCUAUACUCCGUUGCUCCUUGUUACUGCCUAUUCCUCUAUGUCCUUAUUCUCCAUCACAGGGAUCAUUGUUUGCCUGCUUACUCCUUCCAUCUGCCUGACAUCAUAUGCACGUUUGAGAUGCUUUCAUUUUGAACCCAUUUUACUACUUAUUGCUUGGAUUCCUUUCGGCCUUUACUUUCAGUUAAGUGGGGCUGCAGAUCUACUGCAAUUUCUUCCCAGUAGCAGAUGACCUGCCAGGACAUGACUUACAGCUGUGAACCCUCUAGGAGUACUGGCCUUCAGCUAUGCCCUCAUUUCCUACAUCAAAAAAAAGGAAUUUAACUGGCACAUUUUGCCAACUCUGGUAUGUUGAAGCGGUAUUGCCACCUCUUUGUGAUGGCAAAGCUAUUGCAGUAUGAGUAGGUUCUGCUGAACUGAGCCAUUUAUACCUAUAAACGUGCACACACACAUGCUUCUUUCUUCAUCCUGCAUGGCAUGGUACGGAAGGAAUUAGUGACUUAUUCUGCUGUUCUCUUCAAAUAACUUUCUGCCAGACAUUUGGUUUGCUAAUGGAAUAAAACCUUAAGAGUUAAAACUUCCCUUCAUUUUCUGACUUCUUAAUCCUUGUGUGCAUUUUGUCAGCCCCCCUAUUUUUGUCUGGGCUCCUACAUGCUGACACAGCACCAGUUUUCUUGUCUAAUUUUAUAAACUGUUCAGCCGUGCCGUUAUUCACUGUUUUCUUUUAAUUAUGUAUUCUUGUUAACCUCUUUAUCCUUUCAAAGUUGCAGAUUGUGAUUGACAUGUGGUAUUAAUUAAGGCGUAUAAUUUAUGACAUUGGAGCUUGAAAUUAAUAAGUGACAAUACAAUUACAUGGUUUGCCUAAUUGUCCUUCAGUAAUAUAAAGAUUGACACUUACUGCAGUAUUCAAAGUUAAAAGCUCUCAAACAGAUAGUACAGCUGAAUGUAAUCACCAGUGAAUCUAAAGUAAACAGAUCCAUUGUAAGGGACAGGCUGUUGGGAAAAUACUUCUGCUGUGGUCUUGUUUUAUUAAAUAAAUGAAUCUGCUUGUACAGGUCAA